GGGACCUGCCGAAUCAACUAGCCCUGAAAAUGGUAGGGCCUCUCGCGUCGGGCCUAUACCGGACNGUCGCGGCAGUACGUGCUGUGCGGAUGCCAUGCCGCGACGAGUAGGCAGGUCGCCGCGGUGAGCUUAGAAGCCUGGGGCGUGAGCCUGGGUGGAGCCGCCGCGGGUGCAGAUCUUGGUGGUAGUAGCAAAUAUUCAAACGAGAACUUUUGAGACUGAAGUGGAGAAGGGUCAUGUGAACAGCAGUUGAACAUGGGUCAGUCGAUCCUAAGCGAUAGAG
rnacentral:rRNA from 1 species